rnacentral:misc_RNA from 1 species
AAAGUCGUAACAAGGUUUCCGUAGGUGAACCUGCGGAAGGAUCAUUAACACGUUUCGUUCCGAACGUUUUUGACCCAUCUCUUAUUUUCCGUGCACCAAACGCGUCCGGCCUCUCAGCCGCGCACUGGGUUUACUCAGUGUUAGCCUGCUGGGCGUCUUCGGGAUCAAGGAAAUGAAAUUGCUUUUUUCGGAUUGCUUUUUCGCUUUCUCCUGAACGGCGUUGCCACAACCCAAACCCUUUAAUCUAACUGAUCUGAACUUUAAGUUGACUUUCUUCGCGGAAAAUCAACGACUUGAACAAACAACAACUCUUAACAACGGAUAUCUUGGUUCUC